rnacentral:rRNA from 1 species
AUUACUCCUACGGGAGGCAGCAGUGGGGAAUUUUGGACAAUGGGCGAAAGCCCGAUCCAGCCAUGCCGCGUGAGUGAAGAAGGCCUUCGGGUUGUAAAGCUCUUUUAGUCGGAAAGAAAGAGUUGCAAUGAAUAAUUGUGAUUUAUGACGGUACCGACAGAAGAAGCACCGGCUAACUACGUGCCAGCGCCGCGGUAAUAAU